CAGCAAACAGCCCUGAGACAGUCCCCUUUGUGGCAGAAUGAUGCUGCAAUAUAUAUUCAGUGAAAUAGUGCCAGGGUCAAACUGCUAGACUGCCAACAUCUGCCCAUAUCAAGACAAAACAUCCCAGGAUACUUUCAUAUUUUGAAAGAGUGAGGCUACCAUCUUAUGACAACAUUUGGAAAUGAUAAAAGGAUAAAGUGAGGACCCCCUGUCUGUUUAUAUUAACACUGUAUAUCCAUAAACAGGAACGAAUCAAUUGAACACUUAUCGAUCUGUCAGGGUAGAACAUUCAUUCUUAGAAAGAUGGUUUGCUGUUAACCUAUUGACCUGGAGCAAUCAUGACCUAGAACUUUGAGGCACACAGCCAUGACUUUUUAAUGUGAACAGGAAAACCGUGUAACAGCUUUGAUAUAAAAUAGACAAGGAUUAAUACUAGAAACAGAUGAAAACUCAAGGUAGCUUUUAGAAAAUGUGAAUCUAAUCUCCCAGAAUGCUAGAACUGUCAGAAACAGCAGAGGAAGGACCUUCUACUGCAACAGAAAUGAUGUCCACCUACUGAUCCUGCUGGUCUGAGGCUGAAAACCAGACGGAGGGUCCACAAACUCCCCAGGCAGAUGUCUAUACACAAACAGACCUCCCAAGGAUAAAAAGAGCUGCUCAGAUUCUUAGUUCCAGGCAACUCCAGUCUCUGAAAGUCCCCCAGGCCCUGAAGGCAGAGCUGGGUGUAAUGGGUGCAAGUUUGCCCAGCUGAAUUAACUUCUCAGAAAGGUGGCUCUGUUGCGAGAGGAGCUCAUCGGACUACGUAGCAUCCAGGAAUCUGAGUGGGAGAUUAACAAAUGGUAUGUUCUGACACACGCCAAGCAACAGCCCUGCCUUAAAUCCUGGCAAGACUAAGGUAAACAGGCUUCCAGCCUUGAACAAACAUAUUUGAAAGUCUCACAGGACAAAGAAGAGUGGACCCUUGUCUUUGCCUGGAACUUGAAAACGAAUCCUUGCCCCAAAAGUACCACUGAACAACAGAUACGAUGCAAGAGAGAGGAGACUCCGAGAGUAAUAGUAAAGACCUCAGAAAGGCCAACCAUACAAAGUUGGCUCAGUCUCCUACCUAUAUCAGAACCAAUGCCACAAAAAAAAAAAAGGCAUGAAGGAUGUUAGUAAUUGGAGACUCCUCUCUGAGAAGCACUGAGGCUCCCAUUUUCCAUCCGGAUAAUCUCUCCAGAGAGGUUUGCUGACUGCCUGGGGCCUGCAUUUAUAAUACUACAAAGAGGCUACCAAGCCCAGUGGGUUCCAAAGAUUACCACCCCUUCCUACUUUUUCAUGUAGAACCAAACAAGGCUGCAAAAAGAAGACUCUGAAACAUCAAAAGGGACUUUAUUUCUCUUGGAAAGAUGUUGAAGGCAUCAGGAUAGCGAGUACUGUUCUCCUCUGUCCUCCCAGUUGGUGACUGGUACCCAAGAGGAAGGAGAUGAAUGGACCAAGUGAAUGACUGACUGUGAGACUGGUGGCAUGCUCUAGGUUUUAGGUUCUACAAUCUUAGACGCACUUUUGAGAGACCAUGUGUGUGACACCAGAAGGGGUGCAGCUGACCAAGUGGGACUAGAGUGUUCUGUGCAGGCAGCUGGCUGGGAUUCUCACAAGGGAUUUAUACUAGUUGUGGUGGGGGAAGUGGAUGUACCUCUGAGUGAAGGAAGCAAACCUGGGAACAUUGUCACACAAAGAAACAAUAGGGAAAUGCUUGUGAAAUGUCCCAAAGUAAUCAGGAAAAGUUCUUCUGGAAAAGUGAUGCAACCAAUAGUCCAGCCAAAGUGCCUUCAUACCAACACAAGCAGCAUGGGAAACAAGCAGGAGGAGUUGGAAACCAUGGUGUAAUUACAAAAAUAUGACCCUAAUGCUGUCACAGAAACAUUGUAGGACAGAUCACACAACUGGAACACUGGAAUAGAGGGCUACAAGUUCUUCAGAAGAGACAGACAGUGAAGAAGGGGAGAGGGUGUUUACAUUAGAGAAGGGAAUGACUGCAAAGUGUUGCCUCUGAGAGAGAGCCACCGACAGGUUGAGAGCUUGUGGGUGAGAGUUAAGGACCACACGCUGAGGUUGGAAUCUACUACAGGACACCUAACCAAGGGGAGCCUGUGGAUGAGGCAUUCUUGCUUCAACUUGCUUCAACAAGCAGCAUCACAAUGCUCUCAUCCUGAUGAGGGACUUCAACCACAAGGUUGUCUACUGGGAAAGCCACACAGCAGGCUGUGAGCAAUCCAGGAGAUUCCUAGAGUGCAUUGAGGAUAACUUCCUGGUAUUAGACAAACCAACUAGAGGAGAAGUGUUACUGGAGCUGGUGUUCACCAGUGUGGAUAAACUCAUUAAAGUUUAUCCGCACAGCACAAGAAGGGGUCCAGAGGAGGGCCAUGAAGUUGGUUAGAGGGCUGGAGCAUGUCUCCUAUGAAGAAAAGCAGAGAGAGGUGGGUCUGUUCAGCUUACAGAAGAGAAGGCGCUGGGGUGACCUUAUUGCAGCUUUUCAGUACUGAAAGGCUUAGUAAAAAGGGCUUAGAAAAAAGAUGGAAAGAAACUUUUUGCUCAGUCAGAUAAUGGCAAGAGAAGGGGGAAUGGUUUUAAACUAAAAGAGGGGAGAUUUUGAUUAGAGGUUAGGAGGAAAUUCUUCACUUGGAGGGUGG